AACGGGGGSGGGCAACAUGCAKYCGAGCGGACARAUGGGAGCUUGCUCCCUGAUGUUAGCGGCGGACGGGUGAGUAACACGUGGGUAACCUGCCUGUAAGACUGGGAUAACUCCGGGAAACCGGGGCUAAUACCGGAUGSUUGUUUGAACCGCAUGGUUCAGACAUAAAAGGUGGCUUCGGCUACCACUUACAGAUGGACCCGCGGCGCAUUAGCUAGUUGGUGAGGUAACGGCUCACCAAGGCAACGAUGCGUACCGACCUGAAGGGUGAUCGGCCACACUGGACUGAACACGGCCCAACUCCUACGGGAGGCCAUAGGAAUCUUCCGCAAUGGACAAAUCUGACGAGCAACGCCCGUAUGA
rnacentral:rRNA from 1 species